rnacentral:rRNA from 1 species
UACGGAGGGUGCAAGCGUUAUCCGGAUUCACUGGGUUUAAAGGGUGCGUAGGUGGGCAAGUAAGUCAGUGGUGAAAUCUCCGGGCUUAACCCCGGGAAACUGCCAUUGAUACUAUUUGUCUUGAAUACUGUGGAGGUCAGCGGAAUAUGUCAUGUAGCGGUGAAAUGCUUAGAUAUGACAUAGAAACACCAAUUGCGAAGGCAGCUGGCUACACAAAUAUUGACACUGAGGCACGAAAGCGUGGGGAUCAAACAGGA